CACAUGGCCUGUGUAGGAAUCAUAGGACAGCUGAGGACAACGGGUUCUCUCCUUGCACAGGGUGGGACUGAACUCCGGUCGACGGUCUCUGACUGCAAGCUCCUCUACUCGCUGAGCCGGCUCCACAACCCUCCCUGUGGUUUCCCAAUACCAGCACCCUUUGCUGGUCUAACCUAAACACCUCGUAAAGGCAUUUCCCGCUCCACAAUACUAUGGAGGUAGAGGACUGAGCUUCCCAAGGAGAGAAGACAAUGUUUAAAUUUAGCUAUGUGGAAGAAAGCAGCCUCAAGCUGCUUCUGAAUCGGAAACAAGGCAGAGCCGUACUUACUUCUAAAAGCCAACAGCUGCUCAGACUGAACCACUUCCUCCCGCUUACACAUUUUCAGAGCAACACUCUCGAAUACAUACAUACUGUUAGAACAAAGGAACAAACUGAAACUAAGACAUCGAGGGAUGCUCUCGGGGCUCGGGUUACAGCGUGUGAGUGAUGGUUCAGACUUGUGACUUCAGCACUGGAGAAGCUGAGGCAGAAGAGGCCAGCUUGGGCAACAGAAUGACAGUUUGCCUUUUAAAGAAAAGUUGAAGGGGCUGGUGAGAUGGCUCAACAGUUAAGAGCACUGACUGCUCUUCCAGACAGUCCUGAGUUCAAAUCCCAGCAACCACAUGGUGGCUCACAAACUCCUGUACUGGGAUCUGAUGCCCUCUUCUGGCAUACAGUCUCCUUAUCAGUGUAAAGAAGAGCUGUUCACCACCACCAUCUGCUCCAGUCCUGCAGGUCCGGGUCAACCUCUCAGGCUGGGUUAGGGUUAGGGUUAGGGUUAGGG